AUUGAACGCUGGCGGCAGGCCUAACACAUGCAAGUCGAACGGUAACAGGAAGAAGCUUGCUUCUUUGCUGACGAGUGGCGGACGGGUGAGUAAUGUCUGGGAAACUGCUUGAUGGAGGGGGAUAACUACUGGAAACGGUAGCUAAUACCGCAUAACGUCGCAAGACCAAAGAGGGGGACCUUCGGGCCGCUUGCCAUCGGAUUUGCCCAGAUGGGAUUAGCUAGUAGGUGGGGUAACGGCUCACCUAGGCGACGAUCCCUAGCUGGUCUGAGAGGGUGACCGGCCACACUGGAACUGAGACACGGUCCAGACUCCUACGGGAGGCAGCAGUGGGGAAUAUUGCACAAUGGGCGCAAGCCUGAUGCGGCCAUGCCGCGUGUAUGAAGAAGGUCUUCGGGUUGUAAAGUACUUUCAGCGGGGAGGAAGAGAGUAAAGUUAAUACCUUUGCUCAUUGACGUUACCCGCAGAAGAAGCACCGGCUAACUACGUG
rnacentral:rRNA from 1 species